GCCAUUUCCGUAGAGAGGAACGGCGGAGCGGCCUGUGUCCAUGGCGCUGUUCCCAGCCUUUGCGGGCGUUAGUGAGGCCCCCGAUGGUGGGGGUUCCAGGAAAGAAUUAGACUGGCUGAGUAACCCAAGUUUUUGUGUCGGAACUGUAACUACCCUGAGCCAACAAACUGAAGAGGCCACAGCUCUUGUUUCUGAAGGGUCAUCACCAACAAGGAGUCCUCUGAAAUCAGAGCCUUCAGAUGAAAGUGAUGCUAGCAGAAAGCUCACACAAAUAAUCAGGAGAAAGAAGAAGGAAAAAAAGAAAAAAAGGAAGCAUCAGCACCACAAGAAAACCAAGAGGAAGCACCGGCAGUCGAGCAGCAGCGAGUCUGAGCCAGAUUCUGAUUCAGGAAAGGACAGAUCUUCCAGGAGCAUCAGAAGCAGCCAGAAGCAAGCUGAGCAACCCAAUCAAGGAAAUAAUACUGCUGCUGAUGCUGGACUUCGCUCUGUCUGGCUUGAGGACAUUCAGUCUCUGACAGGAGAAACCUUCAGAACAGAUAAGAAACCCGAUCCUGCAAACUGGGAGUAUAAGUCUCUCUACCGAGGGGAUAUUGCAAGAUACAAGAGGAAAGGAGACUCCUGCCUGGGCAUUAACCCGAAGAAGCAGUGCAUAUCUUGGGAAGGGGCUUCCUCAACAAAGAAGCGUGCGCACAGGCACGUUGAACGCUAUUUUACGAAGAAGAGCGUGGGGUUGAUGAGCGUUGAUGGCGUUUCUGUUAGCAGUAGAACUGAUCCUCCUUCUGCAGAGCCGGUCUUGUUUAUCCCCGUGAAGGACUUGGAUGAUAUGGCUUCUCCUGUUACAACCUGGUUGAAUCCUUUGGGGAUUUAUGAUCGGUCAACCACACAGUGGUUACAAGGACAGGGUCCUUCAGAAGCAGAAUCAAAGCAGCCAGACUCACAGCUGGACAGAGAGAAUGCUCUUCUCAAGGCAAAGGUGGAGGAGUUUAAUAGGAAGGUUCGGGAGAACCCUCGGGAUAUUCAGCUGUGGAUGGCAUUUGUUGCUUUUCAGGAUGAGGUCAUGAGGAGUCCUGGCCUGUAUGCUAUGGAGGAAGGAGAACAGGAGAAGAGAAAGAAGUCCCUGAAGCUCAUCCUGGAGAAGAAGCUGGCCAUCUUGGAGCGGGCCAUUGAGAGCAACCAGAGCAGCAUCGAUCUCAAGCUCGCCAAGCUGAAGCUCUGUGCGGAGUUCUGGGAGCCUGCUGCGCUGGUCAAAGAGUGGCAGAAACUGGUCUUUUUACAUCCCAAUAACACGGUCCUUUGGCAGAAAUACCUUUUGUUUUGUCAGAGCCAGUUUAGCACUUUUUCAAUAUCAAAAAUUCACAGUCUUUAUGGAAAGUGCUUGAGCACUCUGUCUGCUGUUAAGGAUGGCAGCAUCUUAUCUCACCCUGCGCUGCCUGGCAUAGAAGAGGCCAUGUUUGCACUCCUUCUUCAGCAGUGCCACUUUCUGCGGCAGGCUGGCCACUCAGAGAAGGCCGUGUCUUUGUUCCAGGCCAUGGUUGACUUCACUUUCUUCAAACCUGACAGUGUGAAAGAUCUGCCUACCAAAUUACAGGUGGAAUUCUUUGAGCCCUUCUGGGACAGUGGAGAGCCACGGCCUGGGGAGAAAGGAGCGAGAGGCUGGCGAGCGUGGAUGCACCAGCAGGAGCGGGGUGGCUGGGUGGUCAUCAAUCCAGAUGAGGAUGAUGACGAGCCAGAAGAGGAUGACCAGGAGAUAAAAGAGAAGACUCUGCCCAGGUGGCAGAUCUGGCUUGCUGCUGAGCGUUCCCGAGAUCAAAGGCACUGGCGGCCCUGGCGCCCUGAUAAGACCAAGAAACAAACUGAGGAAGACUGUGAGGAUCCCGAGAGACAGGUGUUGUUUGAUGAUAUUGGACAAUCUCUGAUCAGGCUUUCCAGCCAAGAGCUUCAGUUCCAGUUGAUCGAGGCCUUUCUGCAGUUCUUGGGUGUGCCUUCUGGCUUUGUCCCUCCAGCCUCCUGCCUGUACCUGGCCAUGGAUGAGAGCAGCAUCUUUGAUAGUGGACUCUGUGAUGAAAAGCCCUUGACUUUUUUCAACCUUUCAUUUUCUGGCAUUAGCUGUGUUGGCUGCAUGGACCGGUUGGGCUCUCUCCGCUGGACCAGGGGUCACAAUCGAGAGGGCGAGGAGUUCAUUCGCAAUGUCUUCCACCUUGUGAUGCCUUUGUUUUCGGGCAAGCAAAAGUCUCAGCUCUGCUUCUCCUGGUUACGGUACGAGAUUGCAAAGGUCAUUUGGUGUCUGCACACUAAAAACAAGAAGAGAUUAAAGUCACAGGGGAAGAACUGCAAAAAAUUAGCCAAGAAUCUCCUUAAAGAGCCAGAAAACCGUAAUAAUUUUUGCCUCUGGAAGCAGUACGCACAUCUGGAGUGGUUGCUUGGCAACAUAGAGGAUGCCCGAAAAGUUUUUGAUACAGCCCUCAGUAUGGUGGGCAGCAGCGAGCUGAAGGACCGUGAACUUUGUGAACUCAGUCUCCUCUAUGCUGAGCUGGAGGUGGAGCUGUCACUGGACUUGUCAGGGGCCACCACGGCCCGAGCUGUUCACAUACUAACCCGACUGACAGAGAGCAGUCCCUACGGGCCCUUCACUGGGCAGGUCUUACCCACUAAUGUUUUGAAAGCUCGAAAGGCUUACGAGCAUGCGCUACAAGACUGUUUGGGUAAGAGCUGUGUCUCUGAUCCAACUCCUGCUGACUCCUUGAACUGCCUGAGUAGCUUGGUCAAAUGCUUUAUGCUGUUCCAGUAUUUGACCGUAGGGAUUGAUGCUGCCGUGCAGAUAUAUGAACAGCUAUUUGCCAAACUGAAGGGUUCUGUUUUCUCAGAAGGCUCUGGCAUGGAGGACGGUGCCAGCUCCCAGAAUCUGACCAGUGUUCUUGAAGCCAUCACGCUGAUGCACACAAGUCUGCUGAGGUUCCACAUGAAAGUUAAUGUUUACCCUUUGACUCCGCUACGAGAGGCGCUCUCGGAGGCUUUGAGGCUGUAUCCCGGCAACCAGGUUCUUUGGAGGUCAUAUGUUCAGAUUCAGAAUAAGUCUCACAGUGCUAGCAAGACCAGAAAAUUCUUUGAUGCAAUGACCAGGUCUGCCAAACCCAUGGAGCCGUGGUUAUUUGCAAUUGAAGCUGAGAAAAUGAGGAAAAGACUGGUAGAAACUGUUCAGAGGGUGGGAGGUAGAGAGAUCCACGCCACCAUCCCAGAGACCGGCUUAACACAUCGGAUCAGAGCCCUGUUUGAGAACGCAGUGCGGAGUGACCACGGCAGCCAGUGCCCCUUACUGUGGAGGAUGUAUUUGAAUUUUUUGGGAGAGGAGAACUGUGGUGCCCCGCUCACGGCUGACACGGGAGCUGCUCCAGGGAGGCUGGCCUCCAUGUUCCUUACGUGUGCGCGACUCGGCUCUGGGGGCUGAGGGUGAAGGAAGGGGGCGCCUCUGUGUGAGCCCUGUCCUGCCCCUCUGAAGACUCAUUGGCAGGAUCAGGAUGUGCACAGAGAUGGUAAAGUGUGACCAUUUGCCCACUGCAUAGGAUGCCAGUCGCUGAAACAAAUUUUCAAAAGAGUUAUUCACAAGGCAGCUGAGUUGGAGUAGGAGGCCACACAUCUCCCUGCCUGAGGGUAGGUGUGUUGGAUAUUUAUGGGGUAAAGAAGCAGGGUGAUCUGUGGUGUGGGGAGAAUGAUUGGAAGAUGAAGUAAUCUGUGUUUCAUGCACAUGUAAUGAAACUUCAUGGCUCUUUAUGAGACACAUGUACAGAAAACAGAGGUGCACGAUCUGAAGAAGGUAGAGAUUUUGGCCCUCUGAUGGCAAAAGGUCUUCACUGGACACCUGCGCAGGCCCAAAUGAAGAGUUGGUGGUUUCAACAAAUUUGCCAAGUCCCUGAAAAGUAACCUAGGCAGCUGUUACAAUCAUGACCCACGCGUCAGAGGUGUCAUCUGUAGCUCAGCUUGUGAGAGACUAAGAAUAUAUAGCUCAGCUCCGUGACCUCCAGAAUUAGUGAUCUGUAAAGCCAGUAAAAAUCAGGUAACUAAAGUGGGAAAGGGGCUUCAGAGAGAAGUACAAAGCGUCGGUUCACAUAUACGAGGCUAGGCCAGCCACGUUUGUUAAUUAUCAGAGUUAAGAUUCCAGUCUUCAUGGAGUCUUGGAGACUGAGGUGAGGGUUACCUUCCCAACAGUGGCUCUCAGUUUCUUGGGAGAUGCUUCUGACUGGCAAAAGGUAGAUAUUUAUAACUGGGAUCCUCUCUUUUAGUAAAUGCCCGGCAGAUGGUUGGCCCCGGUGAGCAAGAGCAGCUCUCUUCCUUCAUCAGCUCUGUCUUCUUUGGUUCCAUGCAGAGACUCAGUUGGUGCCCUCAGGUGCUCCUGGCUUGCCUGAGGACACACAUUUACCCAGUCAUAAUACCGUGGGGGUGACAGGAGUGUCACAGAAACUCCAGAAAAGAGUGUAUCACCCCCCCAGUUAUGUUUCAUUCCUGAAGGAAUCUUACAAGGAGUCUUGGGUGUUAAGAUGACAUUUAGAUGGUGAUAGAGGGACCAGGAGAGCUGGUAGUGGCCAUGGACUCUUCUCUCACUUGAGGCUUGCUCUACCCACAGGUGAAGGCAUGUCCAAGGCCGUGUCUUAGAAUACAAAAUCAUGGGUAGAAAACACAUGGUCACCACUGAGUUCUCACCUGGCAUCAAGCUCUUCCACCCCUGAUGCAGAAAAGGACAGUGUUUUCCUGUGGCCUGUUGAUGAAGGAAAUGCCACUGAAAAGAGUAUAGUGGUUUAUUGGGCUCCAGGAUUCUGCACUUGGUAGAAGACAUAGUAAUAUAGUUUUUCUUAUUCUUUCAAAAAGGAAGAAAAGGUUCAGUUUAGUCAGGAGUUAGGAGAGGACAUUGACGCAUACUGACGUGGGAAGGAGCACACCGGCUGCUUAGUUGUGAAUUGAGUGGCCCAGCCUCAGAACUGGAGGCAUUCAGUAGAAAGGACACAUGGGAGUCUCCUGAGCCCUUGUGGCUGGCUCUUGGAGACGUUGAGCCUUGCCCAAAGCAGGGUUCUCAUAGAUGUUGUUACAGUCCAAGCUGUAGUCCCUUGUGACCGUGGGAGUGAACCUUCAAGAUUGAAAAAUGGAGUUCCCGAGCAGCAGUUUGGAUCUCUGGAUGCUGCAGUCCAGGUUUCCAGGAGCCCAGUCAUUAGCUCUUCCUUCUCUGCUGGCUGCAGCAUGCUGGCUGUGUGGCUAGGGAGAGCCAGUGUCCACUAGAACACGAUCCUGAGGGAGCAGGCUGGGUGGACAAGCACAGAGACAGACUUGAGCUCCCGGGGCUCUGCUCACGCCAGCCAGCAGGUACUGUCCUGGGUAGCUGGCUUCCCAGGAAGGUCAGGAGAGGUCCCCAGCAAUGGCUCCUUCCACACUGGGCUGGGAACACAGUGGUGGCUGACUUUGAGAUGAAGGUUUUAGAUCUAGAGAGAAGGCCGGCUGAGAACCUGCACACACUCAGACUGAAAUUUCUGAUGGAAAAAUUUAAUAAGGUGAAAUCUGGCAAAUGGGGUAAGCUAUUGGAGAAAUGAGAUAGUCCUGAUUAUUUCAUUUCUCUAAAAGACAGCUUUCAUCCAGUGGCACGUUCUAAAGCAAAGGUUUUUUUCAUUUGCACAACUUAUCAAGUUCACCAGCUUCAUCUUGCAGAUGCAGAAUGAGGCAGGUGGUUCCCAGUACAGGAGGGGGAACAGGAUUGCUAAUAAAAGUGCUCAGCAUCAACAUGGGGCCAUUUGAAGAGGGAAAUGUCUACCACAUAGCAGGGGCCUAGAGAGCAUCUUCUGGUAUCUGGGCGCAUUCCGUUCAGCCACCGUGAUGGUACCGGGCCAUCCACAGAGCCUGCCUACGCAGCUGGGGCUGUAUGCCAUGCUUCCUUAGGAAACAAAGACAGAAGCAAAGGUGUGUUCUACAAAGCACUUCAGAAUUGUCCCUGGGCA